GACGAACGCUAGCGGCAGGCCUAAUACAUGCAAGUCGAACGGUAAGGUCUCUUCGGAGAUACACGAGUGGCGCACGGGUGCGUAACGCGUAUGCAACCUACCUUUUAGUGGGAGAUAGCCAGUGGAAACGCUGAAUAAUACCCCAUAUUCUCUUAGAGACGAUUGUCUUCUAGAGGAAAGCUCCGGCGCUAAAAGAUGGGCAUGCGUAUCAUUAGCUAGUUGGUAAGGUAACGGCUUACCAAGGCAACGAUGAUUAGCUGGUCUGAGAGGAUGAUCAGCCACACGGGCACUGAGACACGGGCCCGACUCCUACGGGAGGCAGCAGUAAGGAAUAUUGGUCAAUGGGGGCAACCCUGAACCAGCCAUGCCGCGUGAAGGAAGACGGUUCUAGUAAUUGUAAACUUCUUUUAUGAGGGAAUAAUGGAGUGCUAUAGGCACUUUUGUAGGUACCUCAUGAAUAAGCACCGGCUAACUACG
rnacentral:rRNA from 1 species